rnacentral:rRNA from 1 species
UACAGAGGGGGCAAGCGUUAUUCGGAAUUAUUGGGCGUAAAGGGCGCGUAGGCGGCCGUUCAAGUGGCGGGUGAAAUCCCUCGGCUUAACCGAGGAACUGCCUGCCAGACUGGAUGGCUUGAGACCGGGAGAGGUGAGUGGAAUUCCCAGUGUAGCGGUGAAAUGCGUAGAUAUUGGGAGGAACACCAGUGGCGAAGGCGGCUCACUGGACCGGAACUGACGCUGAGGCGCGAAAGCGUGGGGAGCAAACAGG